UACAGAGGGUGCUAGCGUUGUUCGGAAUCAUUGGGCGUAAAGGGCUUGUAGGCGGUUUGUUAAGUCAUGUGUGAAAUCCCUCGGCUCAACCGGGGAACGACGCAUGAAACUGGCAAGCUAGAGUACCAAAGAGGGGGGUGGAAUUCCCGGUGUAGCGGUGAAAUGCGUAGAUAUCUGGAGGAACACCGGUGGCGAAGGCGGCAUCCUGGACCGACACUGACGCUGAGGAGCGAAAGCCAGGGGAGCAAACGGG
rnacentral:rRNA from 1 species